AGAAAAAUGGCAGCUGAAAUUGUGAGAAGGGUCCAGCUGCAGACCCGCAGACCGCUCCACGACUCACCCCCGACUACAGGUCACAGAAGAGAGUGCGACGUAAACGUCAUCACGUUUACGUCGGAGGGAAGGAGCAACACUACUUUUACAGAUGGAGCCCUGAGCUGAGGAGAUGCAACAUUUGCCAAACAAAGGGGAGCUACGCAAAGCUUGUGUCUCAUGUGCAGGGACAGAGGACGGUGGAUACAGUGUCUACAAAUGCCACCUUGACUGUGUGCAAAGCCAUUAUCACUGUGGCUUUGUGAAAAAUGGUUUGUCAAGACAGCAACCACAAAUAUUACUGCAACUUUGGCAUCCACAACGACUCCAGCGUCCUCUCCAGUGUCCACGGUGACUCCAGCGUCCUCUCCAGUGUCCACGGUGAC